AGAGUUUGAUUCUGGCUCAGGACGAACGCUGGCGGCGUGCUUAACACAUGCAAGUCGAACGAUGAAGCCUAGCUUGCUAGGUGGAUUAGUGGCGAACGGGUGAGUAAUACGUGAGUAACCUACCUUUAACUCUGGGAUAAGCCUGGGAAACUGGGUCUAAUACCGGAUACGACCAAUCUCCGCAUGGGGUGUUGGUGGAAAGCGUUAUGUAGUGGUUAUAGAUGGGCUCACGGCCUAUCAGCUUGUUGGUGAGGUAACGGCUCACCAAGGCGACGACGGGUAGCCGGCCUGAGAGGGUGACCGGCCACACUGGGACUGAGACACGGCCCAGACUCCUACGGGAGGCAGCAGUGGGGAAUAUUGCACAAUGGGCGCAAGCCUGAUGCAGCGACGCCGCGUGAGGGAUGACGGCCUUCGGGUUGUAAACCUCUGUUAGCAGGGAAGAAGAGAGAUUGACGGUACCUGCAGAGAAAGCGCCGGCUAACUACGUGCCAGCAGCCGCGGUAAUACGUAGGGCGCGAGCGUUGUCCGGAAUUAUUGGGCGUAAAGAGCUUGUAGGCGGUUUGUCGCGUCUGCUGUGAAAGGCCGGGGCUUAACUCCGUGUAUUGCAGUGGGUACGGGCAGACUAGAGUGCAGUAGGGGAGACUGGAAUUCCUGGUGUAGCGGUGGAAUGCGCAGAUAUCAGGAGGAACACCGAUGGCGAAGGCAGGUCUCUGGGCUGUAACUGACGCUGAGAAGCGAAAGCAUGGGGAGCGAACAGGAUUAGAUACCCUGGUAGUCCAUGCCGUAAACGUUGGGCACUAGGUGUGGGGGACAUUCCACGUUUUCCGCGCCGUAGCUAACGCAUUAAGUGCCCCGCCUGGGGAGUACGGCCGCAAGG
rnacentral:rRNA from 1 species